rnacentral:rRNA from 1 species
AACGAACGCUGGCGGCAUGCCUAACACAUGCAAGUCGAACGAGACCUUCGGGUCUAGUGGCGCACGGGUGCGUAACGCGUGGGAACCUGCCCUUAGGUUCGGAAUAACUCCCCGAAAGGGGUGCUAAUACCGGAUAAUGUCUUCGGACCAACGAUUUAUCGCCUUUGGAUGGGCCCGCGUUGGAUUAGCUAGUUGGUAGGGUAAAAGCCUACCAAGGCGACGAUCCAUAGCUGGUCUGAGAGGAUGAUCAGCCACACUGGGACUGAGACACGGCCCAGACUCCUACGGGAAGCAGCAGUGGGGAAUAUUGGACAAUGGGCGAAAGCCUGAUCCAGCAAUGCCGCGUGAGUGAUGAAGGCCUUAGGGUUGUAAAGCUCUUUUACCCGGGAUGAUAAUGACAGUACCGGGAGAAUAAGCUCCGGCUAACUCCGUG